AGUUAUUUAAUUUAUAAAAAAUACCUACCUUGAAAGUAGAAAAAGUCGCCCGGCAAUAGCUU
rnacentral:tRNA from 1 species